rnacentral:rRNA from 1 species
UACAGAGGGUGCAAGCGUUGUUCGGAAUUAUUGGGCGUAAAGGGCUCGUAGGCGGUUUGUCGCGUCGGGAGUGAAAACGCCGUGCUUAACACGGCGCUUGCUUUCGAUACGGGCAGACUAGAGGUAUUCAGGGGAGAACGGAAUUCCUGGUGUAGCGGUGAAAUGCGCAGAUAUCAGGAGGAACACCGGUGGCGAAGGCGGUUCUCUGGGAAUGACCUGACGCUGAGGAGCGAAAGUGUGGGGAGCGAACAGG